GUGGGAGGCUUUGAAACCAGGACGCCAGUUUUGGCGGAGCCAUCCUUGGGAUACCACCCUUGUAGUACUGGGACUCUAACCAUAGGCCAUGAAUCUGGUCUUGGGACACUGUCAGGUGGGCAGUUUGCCUGGGGCGGUCGCCUCCCAAAAGGUAACGGAGGCGCUCAAAGGUUCUCUCAGUACGGUCGGAAAUCGUACGUAGAGUGUAAAGGCAAAAGAGAGCUUGAUUGCAAGACAUACAGGUCGAGCAAGGAUGAAAAUCGGACUUAGUGAUCCGGUGG
rnacentral:rRNA from 1 species